rnacentral:rRNA from 1 species
GGACUGGGAUAACCCUGGGAAACUGGGGAUAAUACCGGAUAGGCAAUUUUUCCUGUAAUGGUUUUUUGUUUAAAUGUUUUUUCGCCUAAGGAUGGGUCUGCGGCCGAUUAGGUAGUUGGUUAGGUAAUGGCUUACCAAGCCGUUGAUCGGUACGGGUUGUGAGAGCAAGAGCCCGGAGAUGGAACCUGAGACAAGGUUCCAGGCCCUACGGGGUGCAGCAGGCGCGAAACCUCCGCAAUGUGAGAAAUCGCGACGGGGGGAUCCCAAGUGCCAUUCUUAACGGGAUGGCUUUUCAUUAGUGUAAAGAGCUUUUGGAAUAAGAGCUGGGCAAGACCGGUGCCAGCCGCCGCGGUAACACCGGCAGCUCUAGUGGUAACAAUUUUUAUUGGGCCUAAAGCGUCCGUAGCCGGUUUAAUAAGUCUCUGGUGAAAUCCUGUAGCUUAACUGUGGGAAUUGCUGGAGAUACUAUUAGACUUGAGACCGGGAGAGGUUAGAGGUACUCCCAGGGUAGAGGUGAAAUUCUGUAAUCCUGGGAGGACCGCCUGUUGCGAAGGCGUCUAACUGGAACGGUUCUGACGGUGAGGGACGAAAGUUAGGGGCGCGAACCGGAUUAGAUACCCGGGUAGUCCUAACUGUAAACGAUGCGGACUUGGUGUUGGGGUGGCUUUGAGCUGCUUCAGUGCCGAAGGGAAGCUGUUAAGUCCGCCGCCUGGGAAGUACGGUCGCAAGACUGAAACUUAA